rnacentral:rRNA from 1 species
GUGGGGAAUAUUGGACAAUGGGGGGAACCCUGAUCCAGCCAUGCCGCGUGUGUGAAGAAGGCCUUUUGGUUGUAAAGCACUUUAAGCGAGGAGGAGGCUACCGAGAUUAAUACUCUUGGAUAGUGGACGUUACUCGCAGAAUAAGCACCGGCUAACUCUGUGCCAGCAGCCGCGGUAAUACAGAGGGUGCAAGCGUUAAUCGGAUUUACUGGGCGUAAAGCGCGCGUAGGUGGCCAAUUAAGUCAAAUGUGAAAUCCCCGAGCUUAACUUGGGAAUUGCAUUCGAUACUGGUUGGCUAGAGUAUGGGAGAGGAUGGUAGAAUUCCAGGUGUAGCGGUGAAAUGCGUAGAGAUCUGGAGGAAUACCGAUGGCGAAGGCAGCCAUCUGGCCUAAUACUGACACUGAGGUGCGAAAGCAUGGGGAGCAAACAGGAUUAGAAACCCCGGUAGCCC